UACGAAGGGGGCUAGCGUUGUUCGGAAUUACUGGGCGUAAAGCGUGCGCAGGCGGCCUUCCAAGUCAGGGGUGAAAGCCCAGAGCUCAACUCUGGAAUUGCCUUUGAGACUGUGAGGCUUGAGUACGGGAGAGGUGAGUGGAAUUCCCAGCGUAGAGGUGAAAUUCGUAGAUAUUGGGAAGAACACCGGUGGCGAAGGCGGCUCACUGGCCCGAAACUGACGCUCAUGCACGACAGCGUGGGGAUCAAACAGG
rnacentral:rRNA from 1 species